rnacentral:rRNA from 1 species
GGCAGACGGGUGAGUAACAUGUAGGUAUCUACCCUUUGGCCUGGAAUAACACGAGGAUACUUGUGCUAAUACCGGAUAAGUCUUUACGGAGAAAGCUUUAUGCACCAUUGGAUGAGCCUGCACUUGAUUAGUUUGUUGGUGGGGUAAUGGCCUACCAAGACUGUGAUCAAUAGCUGAUUUGAGAGGAUGAUCAGCCACAUUGGGACUGAGACACGGCCCAAACUCCUACGGGAGGCAGCAGUGGGGAAUCUUGCACAAUGGAGGAAACUCUGAUGCAGCGAUGCCGCGUGAGUGAAGAAGGCCUUUGGGUUGUAAAGCUCUUUCGUCGGGGAAGAAAAUGACUGUACCCGAAUAAGAAGGUCCGGCUAACUUCGUGCCAGCAGCCGCGGUAAUACGAAGGGACCUAGCGUAGUUCGGAAUUACUGGGCUUAAAGAGUUCGUAGGUGGUUGAAAAAGUUGGUGGUGAAAUCCCAGAGCUUAACCCUGGAACUGCCAUCAAAACUUUUCAGCUAGAGUUUGAUAGAGGAAAGCAGAAUUUCUAGUGUAGAGGUGAAAUUCGUAGAUAUUAGAAAGAAUACCAAUUGCGAAGGCAGCUUUCUGGAUCAUUACUGACACUGAGGAACGAAAGCAUGGGUAGCGAAGAGGAUUAGAUACCCUCGUAGUCCAUGCCGUAAACGAUGUGUGUUAGACGUUGGAAAUUUAUUUUCAGUGUCGCAGCGAAAGCGAUAAACACAC